UACAGAGGCCCCAAGCGUUACUGAGAAUCACUGGGUUUAAAGGGUGCGUAGGUGGCGCGUUAAGUCCGUUGUGAAAGCCCUGGGCUCAACCCAGGAACUGCUUCGGAUACUGGCGCGCUUGAGGCUAGUAGGGGUCACUGGAACUGACGGUGGAGCGGUGAAAUGCGUAGAUAUCGGAAGGAACGCCGGUGGCGAAAGCGACGUGCUGGACCUCUUCUGACGCUGAGGCGCGAAAGCCAGGGGAGCGAACGGG
rnacentral:rRNA from 1 species